AAAAAGCAAGUGUACUUAGCACCUUAUUUGCAACAGGGUCACUGGCAAUUGUUACUAAUUCUUCCUCAACAGUUUCUUGUAGUUCUCUUAUGUUCAUUGCACAAAAAACCUCACACUUUGGCAAUUAAAAAUACACUAAUAUUAGUGGUUGAGGCAUAUUCAAGGUUGCAGGGAACACAUAUCGUCUCUAGAAAGAAGUUGCAG